AAUACGACUCUCGGCAACGGAUAUCUCGGCUCUCGCAUCGAUGAAGAACGUAGCGAAAUGCGAUACUUGGUGUGAAUUGCAGAAUCCCGUGAACCAUCGAGUCUUUGAACGCAAGUUGCGCCCCAAGCCGUUAGGCUGAAGGCACGUCUGCCUGGGUGUCACGC
rnacentral:rRNA from 1 species